AACGAACGCUGGCGGCAGGCUUAACACAUGCAAGUCGAACGCGUGUAGCAAUACACGAGUGGCGCACGGGUGAGUAACGCGUGGAUAUCUGCCUUUUGGUUCGGAAUAACCCCGGGAAACUGGGGCUAAUACCGGAUGGUUCCUUCGGGAUAAAGAUUUAUCGCCAAAAGAUGAGUCCGCGUACGAUUAGCUAGUUGGUGAGGUAAUGGCUCACCAAGGCGACGAUCGUUAGCUGGUCUGAGAGAACGAUCAGCCACACUGGGACUGAGACACGGCCCAGACUCCUGCGGGAGGCAGCAGUGGGGAAUAUUGGACAAUGGGGGCAACCCUGAUCCAGCCAUGCCGCGUGAGUGAUGAAGGCCUUCGGGUUGUAAAGCUCUUUUGGCGGGGACGAUGAUGACGGUACCCGCAGAAUAAGCCCCGGCUAACUUCGUGCCAGCCGCCGCUGUAA
rnacentral:rRNA from 1 species